rnacentral:rRNA from 1 species
UACGAAGGGGGCUAGCGUUGCUCGGAAUUACUGGGCGUAAAGGGCUCGUAGGUGGCCAACUAAGUCAGACGUGAAAUCCCUCGGCUUAACCGGGGAACUGCGUCUGAUACUGGAUGGCUUGAGUUUGGGAGAGGGACGCGGAAUUCCAGGUGUAGCGGUGAAAUGCGCAGAUAUCAGGAGGAACACCGGUGGCGAAGGCGGGUCUCUGGGCCGAUACUGACGCUGAGGAGCGAAAGCGUGGGGAGCGAACAGG